rnacentral:rRNA from 1 species
AGCGCGGGGCAACCUGGCGGCGAGUGGCGAACGGGUGAGUAAUAUAUCGGAACGUACCCUGGAGUGGGGGAUAACGUAGCGAAAGUUACGCUAAUACCGCAUACGAUCUAAGGAUGAAAGUGGGGGCUCGCAAGACCUCAUGCUCCUGGAGCGGCCGAUAUCUGAUUAGCUAGUUGGUGGGGUAAAGGCCUACCAAGGCAUCGAUCAGUAGCUGGUCUGAGAGGACGACCAGCCACACUGGAACUGAGACACGGUCCAGACUCCUACGGGAGGCAGCAGUGGGGAAUUUUGGACAAUGGGCGCAAGCCUGAUCCAGCAAUGCCGCGUGAGUGAAGAAGGCCUUCGGGUUGUAAAGCUCUUUUGUCAGGGAAGAAACGGUGGGGGCUAAUAUCCCUUGCUAAUGACGGUACCUGAAGAAUAAGCACCGGCUAACUACG